AAACUUUAAAAAAGCUUUUCCUCAACAUUUUGCCGCAACAUUUCAACGAGCCGGAAAGUAAAUAAACGGCAGACAGAAAUGAGGCAGGUCGAAUUGUCUUGCGUUUCACGCAUGUGCAGUACUGGAACGUAAGCGUUUUCAGCCGUUUCAAUGUGGAUGCACAACUCUGUGAAAACGACUGAAAAUGAUAGCAUGGACGCGGAGCGUUUUCAGAUGAAAACGCCAUUUUCAAAUUUAUCCGGGCUAGUGCAGGCGUAGCCUAACAGUGGGAAGAAGGCACGGCACGGGAGUCGGGAACACACUGGGGAUUUAUUAUUGUAGUGUAUAAUUUGCUUCACUUUAAAUAAAUGCAUUGCUUUCAUCGCACAAAGUCCAACAUUUUGUUCCUAUUUCCUCGCAUCCCCACAGUCUGCCAGCGCAGCCCUGACAAAGGGAAGGAAAAACUCCCUUUUAACAGGAAGAAACCUCCAGGAGAACCAGGCUCGGGGAGGAGCAACUAGCUACUACGACUGGUUGGGCUUCCUCAUCACACCACUGUUCCACACUAUAACUGAACUCGCCUUUCGGAUACUGGUCACAGCUCUCACUGGAUUCACGCUCCAAUCUCCAGGAAGGAAAUCCUCACCACGCUCACCAACAUCCCCUCCUGCCACCAUAGUUCACAGGGAGCCCUAAUAUUUAGGUCCGCUCAUCUACUCUGCACCCCACUCGCCACUCGGACCUUUGCCUCCCCCUCCAAGCCUAAUUCUCCACCUGCAAAGCAAGCCACGCAGAAACCUCAUUACAGCUAUUUUCCCUGGACAAAUCCAUGAACUAAUCCCCUUUUCCUCUCUCCUCAGUGUGACCUCUAGAUUACCACGCCACCAGCGACACCCUGAGCUCCACAUUCUUAGGCCACCAUGCUAG
ensembl:lncRNA